rnacentral:rRNA from 1 species
GACUCUCGACAACGGAUAUCUCGGCUCUCGCAUCGAUGAAGAACGUAGUGAAAUGCGAUACUUGGUGUGAAUUGCAGAAUCCCGUGAACCAUCGAGUUUUUGAACGCAAGUUGCGCCCGAAGCCUUCUGGCCAAGGGCACGUCUGCCUGGGCGUCACG